rnacentral:rRNA from 1 species
UACGAAGGGGGCUAGCGUUGUUCGGAAUCACUGGGCGUAAAGCGCACGUAGGCGGAUGUGCCAGUCAGGGGUGAAAUCCCGGAGCUCAACUCCGGAACUGCCUCUGAUACAGCACGUCUUGAGUUCGAGAGAGGUGGGUGGAAUUCCUAGUGUAGAGGUGAAAUUCGUAGAUAUUAGGAAGAGCACCGGUGGCGAAGGCGGCCCACUGGCUCGAUACUGACGCUGAGGUGCGAAAGCGUGGGGAGCAAACAGG